rnacentral:rRNA from 1 species
UAAAGGGAGCGUAGACGGCAAGGCAAGUCUGAUGUGAAAACCCAGGGCUUAACCCUGGGACUGCAUUGGAAACUGUCUGGCUCGAGUGCCGGAGAGGCAAGCGGAAUUCCUAGUGUAGCGGUGAAAUGCGUAGAUAUUAGGAAGAACACCAGUGGCGAAGGCGGCUUACUGGACGGUAACUGACGUUGAGGCUCGAAAGCGUGGGGAGCAAACAGGAUUAGAUACCCUGGUAGUCCACGCCGUAAACGAUGGAUACUAGGUGUGGGGGGACUGACCCCCUCCGUGCCGCAGUUAACACAAUAAGUAUCCCACCUGGGGAGUACGAUCGCAAGGUUGAAACUCAAAGGAAUUGACGGGGGCCCGCACAAGCGGUGGAGUAUGUGGUUUAAUUCGAAGCAACGCGAAGAACCUUACCAGGGCUUGACAUCCCGGUGACCGGACUAGAGAUAGUCCUUUCCCUUCGGGGACGCCGGUGACAGGUGGUGCAUGGUUGUCGUCAGCUCGUGUCGUGAGAUGUUGGGUUAAGUCCCGCAACGAGCGCAACCCUUAUUGUUAGUUGCUACCAUUUAGUUGAGCACUCUAGCGAGACUGCCCGGGUUAACCGGGAGGAAGGUGGGGAUGACGUCAAAUCAUCAUGCCCCUUAUGUCUAGGGCUACACACGUGCUACAAUGGCUGGUACAGAGAGAUGCUAAACCGCGAGGUGGAGCUAAACUUCAAAACCAGUCUCAGUUCGGAUUGUAGGCUGAAACUCGCCUACAUGAAGCUGGAGUUGCUA